GUUAACUUGAGUCAUGUGUCCCUCAUUAGCACUGCUGUUAAUAAACUAAUGCACACAAUGAUUACUCAACAUCAAAUGCAUAAGCUUUUAGGAAUUCUUUGUACAUCUUCCAUCUCCUCAAUUUAGGCUUCCCUAUCUCCCAAAAAUGUCUCUUCUUCUCUCUUUAAGAAUUCAAGGCUUCUUCAAAAUUUCAAAUAAAAGAUGGUUAGAUUUCAUAUAAUUCUUUCAACUAAAAAAUCU
rnacentral:misc_RNA from 1 species